AUGCCGAAUGUUUCUUCAGCCCAGGAGAAUGCAGGGGCAUUUAAGGAAAGGAAGGGAGAAGAUCUGAAGAAGGUUGUAAUUUUCCUCCUUAGAAGGAUACUCCUUGCCAAAGCUGACCAUGAGUUGGGCUGUGUUUUAUUAGCACUCUUCAUUUACUGCACAGGUAUUGACUGUCAAGAAAGUUGGAUCCAGCCUCCCUCCAGCUCCGUGUCCCCAGGUGGAACCAUUACGAUCUCCUGUACAAGAACUCAUAGUUCCUACAGCAUCUAUUGGUAUCAACAGAAAGCAGGAAAAUCCCCUCGUUUUGUCCACUGUGAUGGCUGCAACAGGGGAGAAGGGAUCCCAAAUCGGUUCACUGCCACCAGAUCUGGGAGUACAGGAUCUCUGGCCAUCACCAAUGCCCAGGCUGAAGACGAGGCAGAUUAUUACUGUGCUAGCUGGGACAGUACAGGCAACGUGUUCCACAGUGGUGAAUUCUUAUGGGGAAGUGUGACAAAAACCUUUAUUGUUCCUCUUGAGACUGAAACCACGUGCAACAUACCUUGA